UACGGAGGAUGCAAGCGUUAUCCGGAAUGAUUGGGCGUAAAGCGUCCGCAGGUGGCAAUGUAAGUCUGCUGUUAAAGAGUCUAGCUCAACUAGAUAAAAGCAGUGGAAACUACAUAGCUAGAGUACGUUCGGGGCAGAGGGAAUUCCUGGUGUAGCGGUGAAAUGCGUAGAGAUCAGGAAGAACACCGGUGGCGAAGGCGCUCUGCUAGGCCGUAACUGACACUGAGGCGCGAAGGCGUGGGGAGCGAACGGG
rnacentral:rRNA from 1 species